rnacentral:misc_RNA from 1 species
AACAAGGCGUACCUGCGGACCUGCGGAGGGAUCAUUACAGAGUUGCAAAACUCCCUAAACCAUUGUGAACGUUACCUAAACCGUUGCUUCGGCGGGCGGCCCGGGUCCUUCCCGGCGCCCCUCGGCCCUCGCGGGCGCCCGCCGGAGGUAAACCAAACUAUUGCAUUGUAUGGCCUCUCUGAGUCUUCUGUACUGAAUAAGUCAAAACUUUUAGCAACGGAUCUCAGAUCGGAAGAGCAC